UACGAAGGGUGCGAGCGUUAUUCGGAUUUACUGGGCGUAAAGGGCGCGUAGGCGGUUUCCUAAGUCACUUGUUAAAGACCACUUAAACCGGUGGGGAUGCGGGUGAAACUGGGAGACUAGAGGGUAGGAGAGAGAAGUGGAAUUCUUGGAGUAGCGGUAAAAUGCGUAGAUCUCAAGAGGAACACCGAUGGCGAAGGCAGCUUCUUGGCCUACUACUGACGCUGAGGCGCGAAAGCGUGGGGAGCAAACAGG
rnacentral:rRNA from 1 species